CCUGGCACCCUGGCAUGGGCCUGUAGUCUCAGCUAGUCAGGAGGCUGAGGUGGGAGGAUGUCUUGAGCCCAGGAGUUCUGGGCUGCAGUCCACUAUGCCAAUUGGGUGUCCGCGCUAAGUUCGGCAUCAAUAUGGUGACCUCCUAGGAAUAGGGGACCAUCAGGUUGCCUAAGGGAGGGGUGAACUGGCCCAGGUCGGAAAUGGAGCAGGUCAGAACUCCCGUGCUCAUCAGUAACAGGAUCGAGACUGUGAAUAGCCACUGCACUCCAGCCUGAGCAACAUAGCAAGACCCUGUCU
rnacentral:SRP_RNA from 10 species